AACACAGAAUUCAGGAAAGAUGCCAGGUAUAAGCUGAAGAUUGGGUGGAUCACAAGAACUAAUCUUUCAUGAUUUGGAAACUGGAAGGAAAGAAGCACUUUUGUAGCUGACUCACCUCAAUGGCAUGACCAGUGUCUGAGCCUACAACUGCGCUACCUUCCCUGGAUUUUUCUUCACCUUUUCCUUACUCAUGAGCCAGAACUGCAUGUCCAAGGAGCUAUACAUUUGCUAGAAGGGGAUGACCAAUUCAGCUCUGAGUUUCCUGGGAGCCAAAGCCAAGAGCUCCAUGUCCACAAGAUCGACGACCAAGUACUCAGAAGAA
rnacentral:lncRNA from 1 species